CUUAGUCGUGCCGCCUAGGAAAAUCCGGGUGGCUUAGAUGAGGGGUGAUAACGAGGCGGCUUGCCGCUGAAGUGAGUGAUACCCUGCUUCCAGGAAAAGCCACUAAGCUUCAGCUACACACGACCGUACCGCAAACCGACACUGGUGCGCGAGAUGAGUAUUCUAAGGCGCUUGAGAGAACUCUGGAGAAGGAACUCGGCAAAUUGACACCGUAACUUCGGAAGAAGGUGUGCCUUUAGUAGGUGAAGUCGUACAGAUGGAGCCCAAUGAGGCCGCAGAGAAUCGGUGGCUGCGACUGUUUAUUAAAAACACAGCACUCUGCAAAGACGAAAGUCGACGUAUAGGGUGUGACGCCUGCCCGGUGCUGGAAGAUUAAAUGAUGGGGUGCAAGCUCUUGAUUGAAGCCCCAGUAAACGGCGGCCGUAACGAUAACGGUCCUAAGGUAGCGAAAUUCCUUGUCGGGUAAGUUCCGACCUGCACGAAUGGCGUAACGAUGGCCACGCUGUCUCCUCCAGAGACUCAGCGAAGUUGAAAUGUUUGUGAUGAUGCAAUCUCCCCGCGGAAAGACGGAAAGACCCCAUGAACCUUUACUGUAGCUUUACAUUGGACUUUGAACAGAUCUGUGUAGGAUAGGUGGGAGGCUUUGAAGCGGUGCCGCAAGGUGUCGUGGAGUCAACGUUGAAAUACCACCCUGGUGUGUUUGAGGUUCUAACCUUGGCCCGUUAUCCGGGUUGGGGACAGUGUGUGGUGGGCAGUUUGACUGGGGCGGUCUCCUCCCAAAGUGUAACGGAGGAGUUCGAAGGUACGCUAGGCACGGUCGGAAAUCGUGCUGAUAGUGCAUAGGCAUAAGCGUGCUUGACUGCAAGACUGACAAGUCGAGCAGGUACGAAAGUAGGACUAAGUGAUCCGGUGGUUCUGUAUGGAAGGGCCAUCGCUCAACGGAUAAAAGGUACUCUGGGGAUAACAGGCUGAUACCGCCCAAGAGUUCAUAUCGACGGCGGUGUUUGGCACCUCGAUGUCGGCUCAUCUCAUCCUGGGGCUGUAGCCGGUCCCAAGGGUAUGGCUGUUCGCCAUUUAAAGAGGUACGUGAGCUGGGUUUAAAACGUCGUGAGACAGUUUGGUCCCUAUCUUCCGUGGGCGCUGCAAGAUUGAGAGAGCCUGCUCCUAGUACGAGAGGACCGGAGUGGACGCACCUCUGGUGUAUCGGUUGUCACGCCAGUGGCAUUGCCGAGUAGCUAAGUGCGGAAGAGAUAACCGCUGAAAGCAUCUAAGCGGGAAACUCGUCUCAAGAUUAGUCUUGCCGGGGCCUUGAGCCCCCUAAAGAGUCGUUCGAGACCAGGACGUUGAUAGGCCGGGUGUGGAAGCGGGGUAACCCGUUAAGCUAACCGGUACUAAUUGCUCGUGAGGCUUGACCC
rnacentral:rRNA from 1 species